rnacentral:rRNA from 1 species
GACGUAGGGCGCGAGCGUUGUCCGGAUUUAUUGGGCGUAAAGAGCUCGUAGGCGGCUUGUCGCGUCGACUGUGAAAUCCCGCGGCUCAACCGCGGGUCUGCAGUCGAUACGGGCAGGCUAGAGGCUGGUAGGGGCAAGCGGAAUUCCUGGUGUAGCGGUGAAAUGCGCAGAUAUCAGGAGGAACACCGGUGGCGAAGGCGGCUUGCUGGGCCAGUUCUGACGCUGAGGAGCGAAAGCGUGGGGAGCGAACAGG